AACGUUGAUUGCCUUACCAUUUUACUGAUUUGCUAUAUACUGGGCUAAUACAUGUAACAAUAAGAGUAUGAAUGCAGAGUUUCUUGAUAUACUGAUUCCUUAUGGGCCUAUGUGAUUUAUGUUGUAUUAUUGUUAAACAUGUUUUAUUUUUAUGUCUUGCUUUUGGAUUUAUUAUAAAAUUUGUAUUGUAACAAAUUUUUAUAUUUUUACUGUACUGAAUCAUAAAGUAUAGCAAGUGCAGGAAGUCACAAAGUCUUACGUUAUACAAGCGUAAGGGAAGCUCAAGGGUUUGUUGUAGAAUGUACAUGUAGAAAUGGUAGUGGGAGUUUCCGGUUAGAGAAACUGGAGCAAGAGAGCAGGUCCCAGUUGAAGGAUUUUAUUAGAAUUAUUCUUGCAUGCUUGAAUUGUUACAGGUACUUGUCCAUAAGAGGGGCAUAUUACACACAGUAGCAGUAACAGUAAAUAACAGUAUCAAAUAUCAGGUAAUAAAGCAUUUAAAUAGCUUAGAUAAUAAUAGUGAUUAUCAUUUAAAUAUGUCACUCAUUCUGGUCUCCAAAUCCAUCCAUUUUCUCCAAUGCCUUUCCAAAGCCAUGAGCUUCUUCAUGAUGGUAUCCAUUGCUGCUUUUCCAUCGAAAUUACCUGGAACUUUUUUUCCCAGGAACUAUUUCCCCCCAGACUUGUAGCUUUCUGCGUUUCCACCGUGGUGUAAAGUACCGGGAAGAUUAGGCAAAUAGACUGGUGACGUAGGUCUGCGCGUGUUUGUCAGUACAAAUGUCCACAAUGACGCAAAUCCGGUAAAUCUGCAAACAGCAGCGUGCUUGAUAACUUAAAAAUAAUUAAUUAUUCAUUAGGUUUUUAUAUAGCAAUGUAGGACAUACAGAGUGUAGUCUGACAACUAAGUUGAUUAAAUCAGUAGUUUUAUUUUAAACAAAGAAAAUAUAUUUGUGUAGAGCACAAUGAGAAAGAUGACUGAAGACACUGUGUAUACCAACAAAACAUCAUAACAUGAGGCUCAUGUAGACUUGAGUUACGAUUUAUCACCUUUACUCAUUUUAUCUUUUCUGCAGCUGCAGAAUGUGAAGAUCUGCUGGAUUCAAUGCAGCAGGAUGAAGGAGAGCAGAGAACAGCAGAGGAACAGGAAGCUCUGAGUAACACAGGUUCCCCUCACAACAUGAGAUACUUCCUGAACCAGGAAUCAGUUGUAGGACAUCACAAUGAGAUUUAGAGACACAGCCUUUUAUAACCUGUGACUGGACUGGAAGAAAACAGUUAGAGUCAGAGACAAGUCGGCCACUGGUAUACAUGAUCUGUACCAAAUGUUAAGACAUAAAAAAGAGAAAGAUAAUGAUGCGGCUUUCUUUUCCAGAUUCUCACCUGUUGUAUUAAAGCAGCGGUCUUCAGUCCCUGAACAGCUCACUGUGUUUGAGCAGGUAUUCCCAUCACAAUAGUAACAUUUCUUUCCAUUGGGAGCACUAGUGGGAUCUACAGGAGGGAAAAUAGAUUUGAUUUCUUUACAUGGUCCUGGUCUUACUGUGCACACAACAUUACAGGUGCUUAUUGGACCACAGAUAAAACAUGUUGUCUUCCUGAUCUUUCGCUAAAAAAAAAAAAAAAAAGAAGAAGAAGAAAGAAAGAAAGAAAAAAAAGGAACAAUUCGAUCUGCCUGUAUAAGCAACAUUUGUUUUCGGUUAAAGUCACAUUCCUGACAGAAAAUGAAAUUCCAUCCUUCUUUUUUUUUUUUCUUAAAUGUUCAAUAAAAUGCUCUGUUGCAGUAGAGUACAAAACCUGUAGCAUCUUGUUUGUUACAGAGAUCAGUGUUACAGCACAGAGUAGAGCCUCUUCCAAUGCCGAAGUGAUCCACUUGGACAGACAGAUGGAGCACAACUUUUAAGCUUCACUGUAGUACUGUUGACUGAAAACACACAAGUGAUACAGGCAGGAGCAGCUCAACUAAACAAUAUUUUGAUGGAAAGUGUUUUUAUAAAUGUCAACACAGAAAGCAUGUCCAAUAGUGCAGUGGUUCCCAAAAUUUUUCAACUCGCGGCCCACACAACCAAACACAUAUGUUCGCGCGGUCCACUGCAAAAAAGAUUAACUGACCCCGCUAUUGUUGGGUUAAUAACUUAGUACUCAGAAAGUAGAUUGGUAAUAAAUUCUGUCCAGAAAAGAAGUUCUGUCAGUCAUUUCUAAUAGUCCAUUUCAAUCCAUC
rnacentral:lncRNA from 1 species